rnacentral:lncRNA from 1 species
GGGGGCUAUGGUUUUUUUUUCUGUACAAACUUUUUUUUUCGACUGCGGCGAAAAACAAUCUAUUUUUUUCGCAACAAGUCGAAAACAAUUUUUUUUCUUUCAAUUUUAGCAUAACAUAUAGUGGCAGCUGAGGAGGUAACAAACAAUUUUUUUUUUCAGAAUUCAAAACAAAUUAUUUUUUUCUCCAAAAACUGGAAACAAACUUUUUU